GCGCCCGUAGCUCAACGGAUAGAGCAUCAGUCUUCGGAACUGAGUGUUGGGGGUUCGAGUCCCUCCGGGCGCGC
rnacentral:tRNA from 1 species